GACGAACGCUGGCGGCGUGCUUAACACAUGCAAGUCGAACGGAAAGGCCCUGCUUUUGUGGGGUGCUCGAGUGGCGAACGGGUGAGUAACACGUGAGUAACCUGCCCUUGACUUUGGGAUAACUUCAGGAAACUGGGGCUAAUACCGGAUAGGAGCUCCUGCUGCAUGGUGGGGGUUGGAAAGUUUCGGCGGUUGGGGAUGGACUCGCGGCUUAUCAGCUUGUUGGUGGGGUAGUGGCUUACCAAGGCUUUGACGGGUAGCUGGCCUGAGAGGGUGACCGGCCACAUUGGGACUGAGAUACGGCCCAGACUCCUACGGGAGGCAGCAGUGGGGAAUAUUGCACAAUGGGCGGAAGCCUGAUGCAGCAACGCCGCGUGCGGGAUGACGGCCUUCGGGUUGUAAACCGCUUUCGCCUGUGGCGAAGCGUGAGUGACGGUAAUGGGUAAAGAAGCACCGGCUAACUACGUG
rnacentral:rRNA from 1 species